GGAGUUGUGGCUCAGCGGUAGAGUGCUUGCCUAGCAUGUGCGAGGUCCUGGGUUCAAUCCUCAGCAACACAU
rnacentral:tRNA from 1 species